GUAGGGAAUAUUGGGCAAUGGAUGCAAGUCUGACCCAGCCAUCCCGCGUGCCGGAAGAAGGCCCUCAGGGUUGUAAACGGCUUUUGACGGUGAAGAAUCGACAGGAUGCGUCCUGUUUUGACGGUAGCCGUUGAAUAAGCACCGGCUAACUCCGUGCCAGCAGCCGCGGUAAUACGGAGGGUGCGAGCGUUGUCCGGAUUUAUUGGGUUUAAAGGGUGCGUAGGCUGGAAGGUCAGUCAGCGGUGAAAAGCUGUCGCUUAACGAUAGUCUUGCCGCAGAUACUUCCUUUCUUGGAUGAGGAGGAGGCCACUGGAACGGAUGGUGUAGCGGUGAAAUGCAUAGAUAUCAUCCAGAACACCGAUUGCGAAGGCAGGUGACUGUACCUUAAUCGACGCUGAUGCACGAAAGCAUGGGGAGCAAACAGGAUUAGAAACCCGGGUAGUCC
rnacentral:rRNA from 1 species